rnacentral:rRNA from 1 species
UACGAAGGGUGCAAGCGUUACUCGGAAUUACUGGGCGUAAAGCGUGCGUAGGUGGUUCGUUAAGUCUGUCGUGAAAGCCCCGGGCUUAACCUGGGAACUGCACUUGUGACUGCAAGGCUGGAGUACGGCAGAGGGGGAUGGAAUUCCGCGUGUAGCAGUGAAAUGCGUAGAUAUGCGGAGGAACACCGAUGGCGAAGGCAAUCCCCUGGGCCUGUACUACGCUCAUGCACGAAGCGUGGGGAGC